AUGAGCAUGGUGGUCCUUGCUCAGCUUCUGGGGAUCCUGCUUCUCUGGCUCCCAGGUGCCAGAUAUGACAUCCAGAUGACCCAGUCUCCAACCUCCCUUUCAGCAUCUCUAGGAGACAGAGUCACCAUCACUUGCUGGACGAAUCAGGGCAUUGGCAAUAAUUUACACUGGUAUCAGCAGAAACCAGGGAAUCCUCCUAAACUCCUGAUCUAUUUGGCAUCUAGCUUGCAAUCUGGAGUCCCAUCAAGGUUUAGUGGUAGUAGGUCUGGGACAGAUUUCACUCUCACCAUCAACACCCUGCAGCCCGAAGUUGUUGCUAAUUAUUACUGUCAACAGAGUAACAGUCACCCUCCCACAGUGUUACAAGCCAUUACAUAA